AACGAACGCUGGCGGCAGGCCUAACACAUGCAAGUCGAACGCUGUAGCAAUACAGAGUGGCAGACGGGUGAGUAACGCGUGGGAACCUUCCCAGUGGUGCGGAAUAGCUCGAGGGAAACUUGAGGUAAUACCGCGUAAGCCCCUAGGGGGAAAGAUUUAUCGCCAUUGGAUGGGCCCGCGUCGGAUUAGCUUGUUGGUGGGUGAUGGCCUACCAAGGCGACGACGGGUAGCCGGCCUGGAGAGGGCGACCGGCCACACUGGGACUGAGACACGGCCCAGACUCCUACGGGAGGCAGCAGUGGGGAAUAUUGGACAAUGGGCGCAA
rnacentral:rRNA from 1 species